CUACGGGCUGCUGCAGUGAGGAAUUUUGCGCAAUGGGGGGAACCCUGACGCAGCAACGCCGUGUGAGUGAAGAAGGCCUUUGGGUCGUAAAGCUCUGUCAACUGGGAAGAAGUUACUAUGCUUAAAUAGAGUGUAGUAUUGACGGUACCAGUGGAGGAAGCGUCGGCUAACUCCGUGCCAGCAGCCGCGGUAACACGGGGGACGCAAGCGUUAUUCGGAAUUAUUGGGCGUAAAGGGCGCGUAGGCGGUCUUGUCGGUCAGGUGUGAAAGCCCGGGGCUCAACCCCGGACGUGCACUUGAAACAGCAAGACUUGAGUACGGGAGAGGAAAGCGGAAUUCCUGGUGUAGAGGUGAAAUUCGUAGAUAUCAGGAGGAACACCGAUGGCGAAGGCAGCUUUCUGGACCGAAACUGACGCUGAGGCGCGAAGGCGUGGGUAGCGAACGGGAUUAGAUACCCGGGUAGUC
rnacentral:rRNA from 1 species